GACGAACGCUGGCGGCGUGCUUAACACAUGCAAGUCGAGCGGUAAGGCCCUUUCGGGGGUACACGGGCGGCGAACGGGUGAGUAACACGUGGGUGACCUGCCCUCAGCUCUGGGAUAAGCCUGGGAAACCGGGUCUAAUACUGGAUAUGACUCCAUGACGCAUGUUGUGGGGUGGAAAGCCUUGUGCGGCUGAGGAUGGGCCCGCGGCCUAUCAGCUUGUUGGUGGGGUGANGGCCUACCAAGGCGACGACGGGUAGCCGGCCUGAGAGGGCGACCGGCCACACUGGGACUGAGACACGGCCCAGACUCCUACGGGAGGCAGCAGUGGGGAAUCUUGCGCAAUGGGCGAAAGCCUGACGCAGCGACGCCGCGUGAGGGAUGACGGCCUCGG
rnacentral:rRNA from 1 species